CCAAUGUUGACAUCCUGGCGUUUCUGGCUUUUGUUAGAAUAUGCUUUGCUCUGUCUUUGUGGCGUAUGGGAGCUGAAUGUCUCACAAGGACUUGAUGCAUAUUCCCGUUCCACAACAUUGGAAAUUAACUCAGGUCUAGGCCUGAACCCCAUAUAUUCCAUCACUUUCUCAUAGCUACUAUGUGGCAGUUACCGAGGAAGAAGACCAUAUGGGGAACAAAC